rnacentral:rRNA from 1 species
UUCCGGUUGAUCCUGCCGGAGGCCACUGCUAUGGGGGUCCGACUAAGCCAUGCGAGUCAUGGGGCGCCUUGCGCGCACCGGCGGACGGCUCAGUAACACGUCGGUAACCUACCCUCGGGAGGGGGAUAACCCCGGGAAACUGGGGCUAAUCCCCCAUAGGCCUGAGGUACUGGAAGGUCCUCAGGCCGAAAGGGGCUCUGCCCGCCCGAGGAUGGGCCGGCGGCCGAUUAGGUAGUUGGUGGGGUAACGGCCCACCAAGCCGAAGAUCGGUACGGGCCAUGAGAGUGGGAGCCCGGAGAUGGACACUGAGACACGGGUCCAGGCCCUACGGGGCGCAGCAGGCGCGAAACCUCCGCAAUGCGGGCAACCGCGACGGGGGGACCCCCAGUGCCGUGGCAACGCCACGGCUUUUCCGGAGUGUAAAAAGCUCCGGGAAUAAGGGCUGGGCAAGGCCGGUGGCAGCCGCCGCGGUAAUACCGGCGGCCCGAGUGGUGGCCGCUAUUAUUGGGCCUAAAGCGUCCGUAGCCGGGCCCGUAAGUCCCUGGCGAAAUCCCACGGCUCAACCGUGGGGCUUGCUGGGGAUACUGCGGGCCUUGGGACCGGGAGAGGCCGGGGGUACCCCUGGGGUAGGGGUGAAAUCCUAUAAUCCCAGGGGGACCGCCAGUGGCGAAGGCGCCCGGCUGGAACGGGUCCGACGGUGAGGGACG